CAUGGUGGAUGCCUUGGCAGACAGGACCGAUGAAGGACGCGUGGGGCCGCGAUAGGCCUCGGGGAGCCGCCGACAGGGCUUUGAUCCGAGGGUGUCCGAAUGGGGUAACCCGCCGGCCGUGAUGGGCCGGCACCGCAUUCGUGCGGGGGGUACGCAGGGAAGUGAAACAUCUCAGUACCUGCAGGAAAGGAUAUUCCGUGAGUAGUGGCGAGCGAAAGCGGAUGAUGGCCAAACCGGUGCCGUGUGAGACCCGUCGGGGGUUGCGGCAUGGGUGUUGUGGGACUUGGCGUCCGGGCUCCGACGGGCCCGGCGGCAGUGAUAAAGCGGCGUGUGAGGCGAACGGGAUUGAAUUCCCGGCCGUAGAGGGUGAUGGCCCCGUAGCCGAAGGCGCGCCGCCUGCCGGUUCUUGUUCCCAAGUAGCGCGGGACUCGUGGAAUCCCGUGUGAAUCGGCCCCGACCGUGGGGUAAGCCUGAAUAUUCCUGUCUGACCGAUAGCGUACGAGUACCGUGAGGGAAAGGUGAAAAGCACCCCGGGAGGGGAGUGAAACAGUUUCUGAAACCGUGUGCCUACAAUCCGUCGGAGCCUUUCGGGGUGACGGCGUGCCUAUCGAAAAAUGAGUCUGCGAGUCAGUGGUGCGUGGCGAGGCUAACCCGUGUGGGGCAGCCGUAGCGAAAGCGAGUCCGAUAAGGGCGUUUUGAGUCGCGUGUCCUGGACCCGAAGCGGGAUGAUCUAGCCCUGGGCAGGUUGAAGCGCGGGUAAGACCGCGUGGAGGACCGAACGGACCUGGGUUGAAAACCGGGCCGAUGACCUGGGGCUAGGGGUGAAAGGCCAAUCAAAUUCCGUGAUAGCUGGUUCUCUCCGAAAUGCAUUUCGGUGCAGCGUCGCGUGAGUGCCUCCAUGGGGUAGAGCUACUGGAUGCUUGAGGGCCCGUAUCGGGUACCGACAGCAGCCAAACUCCGAAUACGUGUGAGGUGUAUCGCGGCAGUGAGUCGGCGGGGGAUAAGCUCCGUCGUCGAGAGGGAGACAGCCCAGAUCGUCGUCUAAGGUCCCCAAGCGCGUGCUAAGUGGGAAAGGAUGUGGAGUCGCAUAGACAGCCAGGAGGUUGGCUCAGAAGCAGCCAUCCUUGAAAGAGUGCGUAACAGCUCACUGGUCUAGUGGUUCCGCGCCGAUAAUGUAGCGGGGCUCAAGCACGCCACCGAAGACGCGGCAGCGCAGUUCGCUGUGCUGGGUAGGAGAGCGUUCCGCGUGGGGUGAAGCGGCGGCGUGAGCCGGCCGUGGACCGCGUGGAAGUGAGAAUGCAGACAUGAGUAGCGAGAGGCGGGUGAGAAUCCCGUCCGCUGGAUGACCAAGGGUUCCGGGGCCACGUUCGUCGUCCCCGGGUGAGUCGGGUCCUAAGGCGAGGCCGACAGGCGUAGUCGAAUGGAUGAAGGAGUCGAUAUUCUCCUACCGGCGUCAAGCCGUCCAAUCCAAGACGCGGAAGCGUGCCCUUACCUGUGUCGGGUGGCGGUCUUCGGACCGUCCGAUGGCAUGGGACCGGCGUGUGGAUGCGUGGCGGGUAGCGCGGGAGUGACACGGAACGGGAGCCGGGCCGCGGUGGUGGUUAUCCGUGGUCAAGCAUGCGGCGCGUCGGGCAGGCAAAUCCGCCCGGCAUGAGCGCGAGGUGUGAUGAUGGGGGGUCUUGUGCCCCGAAUCCGGUGUGCCGUUCCGUCAAGAAAAGCUUCGGUGCGAGGGCUGUCGCCGCCCGUACCCUAAACCGACACUGGUGGUCAGGUAGAGUAUACCAAAGCGAUCGAGCGAAUCCUGGUCAAGGAACUCGGCAAAUCACUCCCGUGCCUUCGGUAUAAGGGAGACCCCUUGCGGUGAGGCGCCCAGCGCGCGGAGCCGAGGGGGGUGGCACAGACCAGGGGGUAGCGACUGUUUACCAAAAACACAGGUGCAUGCGAAGACGAAAGUCGCUGUAUAUGCACUGACGCCUGCCCGGUGCCGGAAGGUUAAGAGGAUCCGUCAUCCCUCUUCGGAGGGGGCAGCGGUGAAUUCAAGCCCCGGUAAACGGCGGUGGUAACUAUAACCAUCCUAAGGUAGCGAAAUUCCUUGUCGGGUAAGUUCCGACCUGCACGAAUGGCGUAACGACUUCCCCACUGUCUCGAC
rnacentral:rRNA from 1 species